GAUGAACGCUAGCUACAGGCUUAACACAUGCAAGUCGAGGGCAGCAUGAUUGAAGCUUGCUUCAAUUGAUGGCGACCGGCGCACGGGUGAGUAACACGUAUCCAACCUUCCGUACACUCAGGGAUAGCCUUUCGAAAGAAAGAUUAAUACCUGAUGGUAUCUUAAGCACACAUGUAAUUAAGAUUAAAGAUUUAUCGGUGUACGAUGGGGAUGCGUUCCAUUAGGUAGUAGGCGGGGUAACGGCCCACCUAGCCUACGAUGGAUAGGGGUUCUGAGAGGAAGGUCCCCACAUUGGAACUGAGACACGGUCCAGACUCCUACGGGAGGCAGCAGUGAGGAAUAUUGGUCAAUGGGCGCG
rnacentral:rRNA from 1 species